UUCAUCAAGACAAUAGAGAGGCACCGUGGUGAAGAUUUCUGGAGAGUUCAACAUAUCACAACAAUCACCCGUAUCUACGAGAGCCAGGGGAGACGGGUCUCUGAAACUCUUCUGUAAUUAGAGGGGUUAACUACGGAGAGGAUACAGUUUCCGGAAAAUUAUAAUCUCUGUCAAGUUCCUCAGGUCUGUACAGACGUUUCAUCAUGUAAUGCUGAGCCUCAGAAAACAGAAAACUGCUGCUCUUCCCUCCUCUUCUCUGCUUCUUUGUCUCUGUUUUGCUGUUGUUGAAUCUUCCAACCUGCUAUCUUGCCCAUGUUUGUCACCAGUAAAUUCUUGACACCGUCAAUUUCUAGACAUCAAUACGAGUAUAUUUGGGAUGUGUCAAAUGUUUAUUUUGACAACUUGAGUUCGUUUUGCAAGUUCACAUCAACUUUUUUUAUGCUGGUUUUGUUUUAUUCGUUUUGUAGUAAUUUAUUUAUAUUUUUUAAUUUAAAAAAAAAUGAUGAGAAAAAAUAAAAAUAACUAAAGAUUCAAAAAGAAAAAAAAUAGAGCUAGAGUUGUGAUCUUGGUCCAAGUGUGAUAAGAUUUUUCAAAAGAUAUGUAGAUGUGAAAGAGAGACGCAAUAUUGCCUCUUGGACCAGGUGAUGGUAUACAAGUAGACCUUCAUGAAUAAAUGUCUGUACAAUUAACUAUUAAAAAAGAAAAAAGGUUCCAAACUACUUUUAAGAUCAUUGUUUAUUGGAUCAGUACUUUGAAAUCCUAAACUCGUUUUGUUAUUAGAACAAAAGGGUAAACCCACCUUUUGACUUUGUAACGUAGAAGCAGAGUAUCCAACUUUGAGCCAUGAAGACAAUCUGAGGCGAAUUAAGUGAUGUAAUUCGCUACAAAAAUUAAAUUGGAAUUUGCUCAAAGUUCUUAUCAAGUUCAACAGUAAUCUGACAAAAAUACUAAUUGAAAACAGAAACAUUACAAGCAUGAAAUCUCAAAUGACAAGGGUUUUUGUAACGAGUUUAAGGCAAGAAGGCUAAAAUUGUCUCCUGAAGCUCAAAACUAUUUAUUUUAUUUUUUCUUCUUUUUUCAAGCCAUUGAUAGUGUUUUGUUUUAUUUUUCCCCUUCAUUCUUGGCAUGCUCUGUAUACGUCAUCUCUGCCCUAAAUUUCUCCAUUCUAACACAUCCAUAGUUUAAUAAAUGCAUUUUCUUCCUUUUAUAUAUAUAUAGAAACUGUCUGACACAUGCAUGUAGAUAUCUUAUUGGUUUGGUUUUGCAAUUUACACAUUCUAAUUUAUAAAACCAGGAGUAAAUCACAUAUAUCAGAUAUUUUUUUCUUGCCCCAAAUUGAUUUUGAUGGGAUAGAGAUUGAAGAAGUAGAUAAUGUUGAGUGCUUAUUUGUUUUAUUGUUUUUCUCUCAAACAAAUUUGUUGUUUUGAUUUAUAGUUUUGAAAAUGUUAUGUUUUGUUUUAGAUUUUGUAAAAUUAUAUUUGUUUAUAAAUUGUUGAAACUUAUGUCGAAUUACUGACUUAGGUGUUUUGUGAUGAAAUAAAUAAUAGCUUGUUUAACAUGUCAGUUUUAUAUUUUGUCAAUUUUAUUGUCGAUUUGUAAUUUUUAUAAAUUAAUAUGUAUAAAUUUAUAUGUAUAUAGAUAAUUGAUAAUGAAUAUUUAAGAGAAGUUUGAAAGUAAGGUGGAUAAUCUUGAGCUAAACCAAUAUUUUUUUUGCAAAUUUAUUUAUUUAAUGUAGUCAAUUAAUACAUAUUGUCAUCAUUAUUUGAUAUAGGUUCCACAACAUACUGAAGAUUUAUAUAAUCAUUAAUUUUAGAGCUUAUAAAAUUAAUCGAGAUACGUACAAGUUAACCCGAAUAUCCACACUAAUUUUCAGUAUACUACUUAUCUACUAUUUCUCAUUUUACAAUCAGCAGAUGAGAGAGAAUGAGAAUGCUAAAAAUGAAGAUUUAUUUCCAACUCUAAAUAUUUAUUUUUGAAAUAUUAGCUUAGGUCUCACGACUUUAAUAAGUUGAUUAUUAAAAUCCAAAAGCAUGCUAAGACAUAUUUUUUUUUUAAUUUUUGUUUUGUAUAAAAAUAUGAUAUAAAAAUUUUAUAUUUUUGAGAUAUUUGACCGUAUACAUAAAAAUAAAAAAAUUUAUUUGAAUACAUAAAUUUGUAAUAAAUAUUUGGUUUUUAUAUUAAAAUAAUUUUUUUUACAUGAAUUUUAUACAAAUUUAGUUUUUUAAUUAUUUUCUAUUCAUUUUCAAUAGAUUUUUUAAAUAUAUAUAUUUUUAAUUAUUACGAACGGAGAUACCGACGGACUCAAUUCAUUAUAUUCCAGAGAGUUGAAAUUUUUUUUACAGCAUAUGCCACUUCAACUAUUAUAUUACCAAUGAAAUUAUUCUGUUUGUAUUUUAUAGAGGGUUGGAAUAAAAUUACUCUAAAUACCAUUAUCAAUCACCAAUGAAAUAAUUCUAUCGAUAUAUUCUAGCUGACAAUUUUUUUUUGACAUGUAUUAUUUGCCAGUAAAACCAUCAAGUUUUUUUACCGGAAGAUAUUCCAACAAAAAAAUAAAUUACUGACUAGCAGUUUUUCAAUAGAUAGUUUAUGUAUAUGAAUCAGUUAAUAAAAUAUUUGCUGAUGGAAUAAUAAAAUAAAUACCGACAAAAUAUUUCAUCAUAAAUAUGUUAAAUGGAGCGCUAGUGUAUUUGCAUGAUUUAUAAUUAGACAGACUGCCCUUUUAAAUGACAAAUACACCACAGGUCAAAUCAUCAUCAUGUUGUACUGCUACAAUUCUGAGCUGCGCGCAGACACAGGCAACUGCUGCUCUCCCCUCCUCUUCUUUGCGCCUCCCUCUCUUUUGCUGUUGUUAAAUCUUCCAACCUGCUCUCAAUUUUUUAGACAUCAAUUCGAGUAUAUUUUUGAUAUAUCAAAUGUUUAUUUUGUAUUUUAUUAAAUUUUCACAACUUGAGUUUGUUUUGCAAGUCCACAUCAACUUUUUUAUGCAGAAUUUUUGUUUUUUUGGUUCUGUCCUUUAUUUAUAUUUUUUAAUUUCAGAAAAAAUAGAUGGAAAAAAAAUGACUAAAGAUUCUAAAAGAAAGAAAUAGAACUACGAACUAGCAAAACAAGCAAUUCAAAAUAAGUUUCCAUCUUAAUACAAGUGCGGUGAAAUUUCUCAAAACAUAUGUAGAUGUGGAUGAGAUAUGCAAUGUUCCCUCUUAAACUAAGGAAUAACUGGUGGUCGAAUCAAUCUAUCUGUGUGCUAAUUUUACGAAUUAAGAAGAAACAGUAAAUAUAUGCACUGAUAACAACAGGGGCUUCAGAGGCAGCUGCCCAUCCAAAAAUACCAAACAGUGCGCAAAAUCAUACCAAAUUACACUGUUAAACGAAUAUGGUGCCUGCAUGAUUUUAAAACUGACUACCUCUUCCAUGGAAAAUAUACGAAGAGAUUGAAUCGUGGUCAAUAUUACUCUUCAUUAAGUCAAAGCUCAUACGAUAUCACAUGCAAUCAACCAUGAGUAACAUGUGCACAAGCAUAAUAAUAGCAGACCAAAUGUAGAGCUCCAUUCACUAGACAACAUGAUUAGAGCUGUUUUUAUUAUUAUUAUUAUUAUUGUAUAUAAAUAUUUGUAAUUGAUUUUGACAGUUAAAUUAAUAACAUAAAAUAUUUUUUAAUUUAAUUUAGUUGUUUAAUUUCAAAUUAUUUGAUUCAAAUAAGCACAAAUCACUAAAACACCAUUGAAUUACCAAUAGAUAUAAAAAAUUUGUUAAGGAAUUUAUGGAUAAUAUAGAUUCAUUUUCCUAAGAUAAUUAUAAAGAGUUGUGAUAUGUUUUGAUAUAGAACAACAUAUUCACCAAUAUAUUUUUAUGUCAAUGAUUUUGUUGAGGACCUCACUAGUUCUACACAAUAUAUUAUCGAUGAUUAUUCCAUCAGCAAACCAUUGGUUAUAUUUACUGACAAAUUAGCUAGCAGAAUAAUUGUCGGCAACUUUUUUUUUUUGCACCUAUAUUUUAUUGAUAUUUUUGUUAGUAUUUAAAUUAUUGAUUAAAUUACCAAUAAAUCUAAAAUCCCCAAUAAGACACUCUCCAACAACAUAUUUAUAUCCAAACACCCAUCAAUGAUUUUUAUAGUGAUGAAAAUACAACUUUUAGAAUUGUCAUAACCCAUUUUUUUGGUUAUUCCCCAUUUCACAUUUUUAAAUAAUAAAAUACAAAAAAUAUUAUCAAAAAAAAUAUAACAGUGAAAAAGGGAUGCCAGAGCGCCCUAAAAAUAAUCAAAAAUUGGUUGAGGAGGUUAAAAAAUAUAAAUAUUAAAAUUUGACAGUGUUUUAUUGACUGAUGAUAGUCCUAUUGACAAAGAAAAUUCAAUUUGAGGAAGAAAUGUCUAAAAUCAGAUGUUUAUGGACUCAAUUAAAUUUUAAUGAAGGUUUAAUUGAAUUUAAGGAGGGUUUAAUUGCAAGAAAAAUGGGUUUUAGAGUUAAUUUGGGCUUUAAUUAGAAGAAAUUAAAGUUCUAGGGUGAAAUUAUAAUUUUUGCAAGUUAAUUUGGUCAAAUCAGAGACUUAAUUGCAUAAAUAUUGAAGUUUGCUGGCCAAUUAGGGACUUAAUUGAAGAAAUCCAAAACCAAGGACCAAAAUGGAAAAAGGCGCAUAAAUAGAGGGGCUGGAAUUGAAACCGGUCAGGGGCCCAAUUGAAGAAAUUAGAAGUUUAUUGAUCAAUUGAGGGUCAAAUUGCAUAAUUUCAAAACCAAGGACCAAAGUGAAAAAGGCAGCCAAUUUCAAGGCUGCUGUUGAAUUUUUGGCAGGGAUGCAAUUGCAUUAAGUUUAAAUUAAAAUUGCAAUUUAAGACUUGAUUGAGCAAAUUACAAAUUGAGGACCAAAGUGAAAAGUGACACGUUUUUGCUGCAUUUUCAUUUAAAUGAAACGACGCGUUUUGACCAAAACAACGCCGUUUCAUGCACUGUUCACAAAAAAAACCCUAAACUGUGCUGUUUUGAACGGCACCAUCAUCUGCUUCCCCUGGACACGCAGAGAACAGGGGACGAAGAUUUUCUUUUCUCCUUUGUUUGUCACCGACUUCCCUCCCCCCGAUGACUUUAAAAAGACGCUGACACAACCCACUUCCAACGUGUUGAAGGGGUGGUGGAGGGGAGGUAGCGCGGUGGCCGCCCUAGCCACGUCUCCCUCCCCUGUUUUUGCUUAUAAAAACAGGGGAAGGGGAAGGAAAAAAAGGAGAACAGAACGAGAGAGGAGAGGGAUAGAGGGACGAGAGAAGUGAACAGCGGGACGAGAGAAGAGAGAGGACUGAAAGAAAAAGAAAAAUAGAAGAAGAAGAAGAGAGGAGAACAAAAAACAGAGGAGAAAGAGAGAGAGAGAGAAAAAAUAGAACCACUACGAACCACCAGCACCAGCGCCACCGCCUGUCGCCUCCAGCAGCAUAGCCACUGGUUGCAGCCACCGCAGGUCAGCCCAUCUCCCCUUCCUUUUCUUAUCUUGCUUCAUCUCGUCACCCUAGCCUCCACUGUUCAUGUAGCAUGUGAACAGUGGAGGGCACUGUUCACACAAGCUGGGCUCAGCAUUUGGGCCAAGUUCGGGCCAGCCCAUGUAUUUAGGUCUGACCCAGCCCAUUUAAAAAAAAAAAUUCAAAUGCGUGUUUUAGAAUCUUACAAAUUUUCCCGUGUAUUUUUCUAUGCCAUUUUUAUUAAUAUCGGGUAGUAUUUUACAUGGUAAAAAUACAAAUCUGAUAUUAAAAUACCCGGUUGUCGUCAAAACUUCCAAAAAUACAAAAAUAAAAAAUAAAAAUAUUUUUGUGUAUACGACCAAGUGUCUUAAACCUAAAAAAUCUUAUUGUGUUUUCCAUACACCCAAAAACAAUGUUUUAGCAUGUAUUUUGGCUUUAAUAACCAGUUUAUUAAAGUCAAGAGAACAUUGACCAAAAUUUCAAAAACAACAAAAAUUUUAUUUUGUUUAUCUGUUAUUAUCCAAGGUAUGACAUUACAAGUAAUGUUUAAUCUGGAUAUUUAAUUUUUUUUUGGACAAUAGAACGGUUAGGUUUUACCGUAUUAAGAUAAAAACCUCCUUCUGAAUGAAGGCUUGUCUUGAACCUUAGACAGACCAACAAUUAGAAAUCACAACACAACUUUAGGUUUUAUCAGACAACAAAACAAUGCAGCCUACCUUAGGUAAGGCGUAGUUGGGGUGCUAAUACCUUUCCUUUACGCAACCGGUCUCCGUACCCAAUCUCUGAGACCAGUUAGGGUUCCUAGUGAUCAAAAUACUAGGUGACCAGUGGCGGAGCCAGAGUUUUUUAAAUGAGGGGACAAAUUAUUAACAAAUAUUAUAUUAUAUAGCUUUGAUUGACUCUUCAUCUUCAAGAGAUUUAUGCUUGAAAUACUUGUCUAGUGACAUGUUAAUUUAAUAUGAACCUGCUGGAUUUUUUUGUAUCAUCAUUAGUGUCUACAUAAUAAUUAACAUAACUACACAAUAAUUCACUGUUAAACAAAAAUCAGUUGAGUUACACAAUAAUUCUAAAUCUUCCAUAUGAAAUUAAUAGCAAAAUACACGUCAAUUCAUCAAAAUCAAAACCUAUUUCAAUUCAUAUUUAUAUGCAUAUAAUAAGUAUGUUGAUUAAAUUAUACUUAAUCAUUUCUAGACAUUUAAUUAAGAAAUAAUGCCUAGUGUAUGUGUAAGAGGAACAAUGCUUGAAAAACAUGCUUUCUACUUGAUAUUUUACUUACAAACAAAUCAUGUGAAAAUAUUAAAUUUCAAUAAACUACUCUGUCAAUGCAAGAGAUGUCAAGAAUAGUGGUUUUGCAUGAAUAUUAAUUUAUUUUUUUAUAAUAAAAAAGAAACACUUAAUUGAUUAAAUUAGUAGAUUUAAAUAUUUAUUUUGAACAUAUUCAUAUUAAAACCCCUAAAGUAUCAUAAAUCCUAAUAUUUUUAAUAACUAAUUAUAAAAAAAUAAAACUAAAAUUAGACAAUAAAACAAAUAGAAAAGAUAAUAAAUAAUUUACUUAAUAUAUAAAGCAAAACACAAAAAAGAUUAAUUGAUAAGAAAUUUGCAUAUAGGAUUGGCGAGGCAGGGAACGACAGCUGAACAAAAAAACCCUCUUUAUUAGACAAUGAAAGAUAAAGAAAAAAAAAGGGGGAAAGGGGAAAAAUUGGGGCAGCUGUGUGUGUGUAUAUAUAUAUUAUAUUAUAUUAACAUAUGUCAAGUCAGUUAACAAUAAUAAACAAUAAAAACCUUCCUUCAGCAAUAAUUCAUUAAACUAAUAUAUUAAUAUUUUAAUAAAUAAAAAAAAUAAGGGGGCAAUUGCCCCCUUUUGACCUACUGUGGCUCCGCCACCAUAGAUGACGACUCCCAUUCUAAUUUUUUACUGAUAAAAAACAAGAAUUCCUUGGCCCUCCACAUGUGCCAGAUAGACCACAUUUUUAUUUUUUCUUGAGAGGGUGGACGAUCGCCGCGACGAUGCAUUUUCACAUGCGACAAGAAUGAUGGAAUAUUUUUUUCCAUGUAAAUCAAUUUUCUAGUUGUGAUUUUAGCUUAAAAAAAGAGAGAGAAACUGGUUAUGUAAAUUCAUUGGAGGUCACAUAGGCAACAUCUUAGAUUUGGAAUAAGCAGCAAGAUAUUUCACCAAAUAAGAAUUCUUGUGUGAUUUUGAAUAGGAAUAUGUUGUUCCAGCAAUGCCAAUCUGAAAAAAUUUCAGUUAUACAAUUUUGGGAAUUUUAGUUUCAUGCAUAAUCUGCAUAUCUCUUAUUUAUUUAAAGCAAGUACUAAAAUUUACUCUGGAUUUUAAUUCCAUGACACAAAACAGGUAAAUAUUUGAAUUUCAAUUCCAUUUUAACAAUUGAUAUUACGAGCACCAUACAGAAGAUGACGAGCAAGAAAAUUGACCGGAUCAUGCAUGGAUUUUAAAAACGCAUUUCAUGAUCAAAAGGACUCUAAAGAUGCUGCUCACAUAUGUGAAAUGUUGACACGUGUCUAUAUAGGUUGAAGGUUAAUAAUAGGCUAAAAUUGAUGUAUCCAAUUUUUUUGAAUAAUUUGUCAAAGUGAAUUUCAUUCCACUAGUUAUUGAAUGAAUUAUUUGAUUUAUUCAAUCCAUCUCUAAAUUUAAAUUAGCAAUAAUCAUGUCGCGUGACACUUGUAACUCCACCUUCAAAAAACUCAUGCGUAAAUCAUAAUACAUGUCAAACAAUAAUUAAUCAAUAUUAAUUUAAAUUAAUAUAUAAACCAAAUUAAAUAUAACAAUUUGUUCAUACACCAUAAGCAUAGAAUCUUUUGCCAAAAGAUAAUGGUAAUUAGACCAUUAGUCUUGGGGUUGGUUACAAUUUAGCCCUUAUAGUUAUUCCUAAAAUAUUUUAUAUUAGCUUUGCCUUACCUCCUAUCCAUAUCCUCUAACUCUUUUAACAAAUGCAUGUGGGAAAAGAAAACUUCACCACCUAAACCCUCCGGCGGCUCAGAUGUUAAAAAAUCGCAUUAUCUAUUUUGUAGGUCACAUAUCCCUAUCCAUUACCCACGUACCACCCACUAAUUAAUCAUUACCAACGGAAUCUCUUUAUACUACCACUAAUCACUGCUACAAUUCAUUACACACACACACACCUGUGCUUAGCUAUGGCUUUAAUCUUAGCGAUAUAAUGUCCGUAUGCAGUCGCCGACGGAAUCUCCUUGUAUUACCAAUUGAGUGUGAGUGGAAGGGAGAAUCUGACAGAGAGUUCUGGUGUCUUUAUUGUGAGAUUUAGAAUCAGAAUCAACUUAAUGUUGAUCAAAUUAUUCUUGGAGGCUAAUUUAACCAUUUAAGUUUUUGAAAUCAAUUUGUGAAUAUUUGUUCAUCGGAGGAGCUUAUGAUAACAUAUCAGAAAUUAUCUCAAUUCAAAAAACAAAGUUAUAAGAUGAGAUUUUAAGAAUUGUUGUACACACUAUUAUACUAUUACGAUUGAAUUUGAUAAUUAAUUACGUUUUGGCUGCAUUCAAAAGAUUGAAAUUUUGUGAUGAGUGGAUGAACUAGCGAAUGGACUAAAUAAAUUAAACAAUUUAUUCAAGGAUAAUGACUUCAACUUUUUAUUCAUACACUAAUGACACUUUAACCAAUAGGUUACGGGCUUGGAUACAGUUUACUCUACUAUUAUUAUUCCUAAAAUAUUUUAUAUAUAUUAACUUUGCCAUAGCACAUGUACAUGCGAUAAAGUCAUAUAUUCUCCUUUUUUUUUUAAACCCACUAAUCAAAUGGGAAAAGAAAAUAAAUAAAUUCACCGCCUAAACACUCUGGUGGCUCAUAUUUUUAUUCUUUUAAUAAUUUAAUUUUAAAUCGACAGAAACCUUGUUAAUUAAAUAAUAGUAUUGAUUUGUUAAUUAAAAAAUUCCACCAACUAAACACUCUGGCGGCUCAGAUAUUAAAAAAUUCCAUUACCUACUUCGUCGUUCACAUGCACAAUUCGUUGCCAACACUAAUCAUUGAUACAAUUGAUUAUAAUUAUUAUUUUUUUUAAUGUAAAGAUAUUUAGACUAGCUUGUAUAUAUUUUAAUUAAUUUUUAUAAAUUUUAAAAUUAACAACAAGAUAAGACUCCAAUAAUUGUUAAUAUUAGCAACCAUAAAGAAAAUAAAUUUCUUAAUUUCAAGCUCUAAUCACUAAACCACAUACUAAAUGAUUAUAAAUAAUUUUUUUUCUUACAAUUGAUUAUAAAUUACAAGAUAUAUAAGUAAUACCUAAUGAAACCUAAAUUUAAGUUAUUAAAUAAUACCUAAUGAAAAAAUAUUUUUGAACUUAAAACUUCCGGAACUUGUUACAUAUAUUGUGCUGAUAUUUUUUAAAUUUAUUUAAAAUAUGAUUUCAUAUAGAAAAAUCAUUUCACCUAAAAAAAAAAAACAUAAACUGUCGAUCAAACUCCAACUUUAAUUUUAUAUUGAUUCACUAACAACCCAAAACUUGGUGGUUAGGCAUCUAUUGGACUAGCUAGAAAAUUUUAUGCGAGCAUAUUAAAUUUCUCAAUAAUCAAAGCUGGAGUUAACCUAACUAGCUAGUUACUUGAAGAUUAAAGAAAGAAACAACGUCGAGAGCAAAGAAAAGAGUACUAUAUAUAUGACAUCGAGUCGAAGAGCUAAAUAUAAACAAAUCGAAAAGAGUGAGAGUGAGAGAGGCUGCAUACAGCAUCUCAGUAUUGCUUCUAGGAAAGUGGCUCUGCUUGCUGCUUGAAGCAAACAAUUGCCCUUCUCCAGUACAGGCCAAGGUGCGUGCUCUGGUUUGCUUAAUUUGCUCAUUAAUUAGUUUUGUUUUCUCUCCAUAAUAUUUGAUGCACUAAGACGAACGGUUCAAGGGGAAUGUCAUGAAUGUAGCCUCUCACUCUGAAACUCUAGUUCUUAUUUCUUUUGGCUCUUAAUUAGUAAGUUUACAAGUGCAACACUUGAAACGAACUUUCACCUUUCCUCUGCUUUGAAAGGAAAAUUGUUGUUAAAGAUACCUCAUUUAUAGAAGUCUCAAAUGAACCUCACUGAAAAAAUCACCAUGAGAAAGCUGAGGAUAGUAGCUCCUGCAGGUUAAGGAGGAUGCUCCUUUUUUCACGUACUAAUUAAUUAGUUUUUAGAACUAGACACGCUAUUCAAUUCAUUUUAUUUAUAGGGAUUAAUUUAUAAUUUAUUCAUUUUGAGAACAAGACUAGAAGUCAGACUCUUGAGAAGCAAAUAUUAAUGGCAAAUGUUACUAUUGUCUUUGAUUACAGAAGCAAAAACUUCAAACGCAUAACUUUUUUAUAUAUAUUUUUAGUUAAUUCUUUAAUUAUGAAAAUAAUCUUAAUUUUUGAGAAAGUGUUUUUAUUGGUAAAUAGUGAUUCGUUUAUCUAUCAUCUACGCAGCAAAUUGCAAUAGAUGGGAGAAAUUCGCUCACCAUAUUUUUCACUUGGCCAAAAUUACUUCGGAGAUAAUUCUGAUCAUAUUCAUUCACCGUACAUUUCAUAUGGCGGAGAGGACUAUCAUGAAGACUAUGCCGAAAUUCAUCCACCAUAUUCUUCAGCCGGAGACUACCGUGGAGAUAAUGCUGAGAUUCAUUCACCAUAUUCUUCAGCCGGAGACUACCUUGCAGAUAACACUGAAAUUCAUUCUGAAGCAUUGUUUCAUCAAGAUAUUUCUGGAAAUUCAUACAAUGCACAACAAUUUGUUAAGCAUGGAAAAGCAACCCGUCGUGUUGGAGGAGCUUGGAAUGAUGAACAAGAGAGUGAUGUGUGCAUCUACACAGUUGGCGAGGCACUUCGCAAAUCAAAUGAAGCCAUGUACUGUCCUCAAGUAAUUUCUAUAGGCCCUAUUCACAACGGCAACAGAAAUCUGCGUUUCAUGGAAAGGAAAAAGUCUGCAUUCUAUAAACAGUUCUGGGAAGACAGGGUGUCAAAGGCAGGGGAACUGCAUGGGACUGAGGACAAGUUCUGGGAUGCCCUCGUAAAAGAUGAAAAAAAGAUCCGCCAAUGUUAUGAAGAUGAUUCCCAUAAAAUUGAAAAUACUGAAGACUUUCUGGAUCUGAUUCUGUACGAUGCUGUAUUCAUCUUCGAGCUAUUCCUCAAGUACAGUGGAGAGGAAGAGGAGUUUAGAAAAGAUUCUAUAUUGAAAGAACGAGGGUUGAGGGCGGAGAUUCGACGGGACUUGAUUUUGCUUGAAAAUCAGCUUCCAUUCUUUAUUCUUGAGAAAUUAUAUACAAUUCUUCCAGAUAACAUUAAACGAGGAAAGACGGAAUUUAAAACUCUUGCUUGUUUCUAUUUUCAACGCCACAUUCGAAGUGAAUUCUCUCCUUCAGCAACAACGCCAUUACAUUUCACUGAUUUGGUAAGAUCUUUACUAUCCUUCACUCGAAAUGGCAAGCCUGUGGAUCAAAUCAAAAGCUUUCACAGUGCAACCAGGCUCCGCCAAGCAGGAGUUAAGUUUAAGGUUAAGCUAACAUAUGACUACUUACUUGGUGUGGAUUUCCAUAGAUUGAGAAAAGAGUUUCACAUACCACAGCUUCAGAUACACGGCGACACUGAAAGUGUCUUCAGAAACCUUAUGGCCUUGGAGAAGCGUCUUUAUCCAGGACAAGAGUACAUCUGCCAUUACAUCAACCUAUUGAGUAUUCUUGUUGUCAAACCUAAAGACGCGAAACUCCUAAUGGAAAAUAAGAUUGUAAGUUAUUACAAAGACGAAGAUGCAGUGAGGGACCUGAUUUACAGUCUUGCAUCAAGCACGACUGAUCUCCAUUCCUGUUAUCACGACAUCUUUUCGGCGGUGGAUGAUUAUUAUAAAAGCUCCUGGGCCAAAAACCCCGCAUACUUUAUAGAGGAGUUUUUCGGGAAUUUUUGGAAAGGUGUUGGAACGGUUUGUGCAGCUAUCCUCCUCAUCCUCACUUUGGUACAAACAAUUUGUGCGAUCCUUGGCCUGCGCUAGUACUCCAAGCGUGGAUCAAGUCAAUCCGGAGCCUGUGUAGUUUUAUUUCUCCUGUUUGUGGCUUUUGUUGUGUUGUGCUGUGGAUUUUGUGUUUCCUGUGCAGUCAAUAAACACACACACACAUUCUCUCUUUGAUGUUUUUUUUUUUUUUUAAUUCUUAUCACAUGUAACUAUUCUUUAUAUUUUAUUUUGGAUUGCUCAUAAUUUGCGUUUAAUAUUAUAGAACAUAGUAUUUUUUACUUUAAAAUAUAUUAAUUUAAUAUUUUUUUAAGGAAAAUACAUAAAUUACCAUAUUUCUAAACACUCACAUAACUUAUCUCUAAGUGUGCGAGGGUGAUAAGAAUAGACAUCAACAAAAUGACACAAGCAUGACUUGUUAAUAUAAUAUUUCCUUCCUUUGGUUUUCAAGCUAUGCAUAUCAAUGUCACUUUCUUGGGCUGAAGGUUGACCAAACCAAGCUGUGGACACAUAGUUUAGGAAAUAAUAAAUAAACUUGAAAUAAAUAAAAUAUAAUUUUGAUUGAUAUGUAAGCUAGUUUAAAAAUAUACUCUACUAUCCAAUAAAAAAAUAUAUUUACACGAGUAUAAGAAACUUAUGAGAGUAUUUUAUUAACAUAAAAAGAGAAAAAAAAGUGGUGAUCAAUAUUAAUAAAUCAAACGAAAGAAAAUUGGGGUCAACACAUUGAUCUCGUUUUUACCACACAUUGUUAAGUCAUUAACAAUAUUAAAAUAGUUUGAAUAUUAAAUUUAGUUUUGAUUGAUGUAGAAAUUAAUUUAAAAUUAUGUUUCAUUAUCGGAUUAAAAAAAAAUUUACAAGAGUAUUUUAUUAAGAUAAAAUAAGAAAUUGUUUUUACUGGUUAUUAAUGUUAAGCGUCCACCGAUUGAUCUUAAUUUUUACCCUAACAUCGUUAAGUCUCUAACGCUGUCAACUCACCACACUCAUAUUAAAGCACAGGUUGAUAUAUGGAGCCUCCCUCUUUUCCAUUUCCUUGUUCUCUCUCUGGGCAGCUUCUGUGUACUCUGCCUGUCAUAACUCAAUUUUUAACUAUUUUAUUUUAAUUAUUAUUAUUAUUAUUAUUAUUACUACUGAAAAGGAUAAAAAAAAUGAUGAUAAUGAUGAAAAAACAAGUAAAAUGAAAUAAAUGAAGAAUGAAUUAAAAUUUGGGUUAAGGGCAACAUGAUUGAAAGUUUAAAGAUUUAAUUAAAUUUUUAACUUAUUUAAUUAACCAAGUUAAGGGUUUAAUUGGAAAAUUGAUAAGUUUUGAGACUUAAUUGAGCUUGAAAUUAAUUUAAUUAAUCCAAUCAAGGUUUUAAUUGGAGAAUUGAUAAGUUUUGAGACUUAAUUGAGUUUGAAGGUAAUUUAAUUAAUGAAAUCAUGGACUAAAUUGAAAAAAUAUCAAAGUUUGGGGUUUAAUUGAGGUCCAAAUUGAACAAAUUAAAUCCAAGGACCAGCUUGAAAAUGGCGCGGAAAUGCAAGGAUCCAAUUACAUUUUAACCAGGGGCCUGAUUGCAAAAUCACAAACUCUAAAGGACCAAAUUGAAAGAAGCCUUUGGGAUGGGAAACGGAGUCGUUUUGGGAGGCGACUGUUCGCUCGUCUUCUUCCUCUGCAACGGCUCCGCCAUUAAAGGCAGAGACGUUUGUCCAUUGAAUGCAGCGCCCCACGCCAUUACUGCCGACCGUUACAACGCCGAUCAACCUCUGGCCUUAUAAAAGCUGGGCAAAAGGCAACCUCAGGAGGGGGAAUUGGACUGAAACGAAGGAGGAACCCAGCAUAAACAGGGGGGAGAACGGGGGGAAAACUGAGAGGAAGAAAAAGGCAGAGCCAAGGCUGAACAGGGAGAAAAACCGGGAAGAAGAAAAAGCCACGAAGGGCAGGGGGGACCAAGAACAGGGAAGAAGGCAAAGACAGAGUCGAACAAAGAAAAACUGGGGAAGAGAACGAAAAAACCAGGAGAGGCAGAAUAAAAGAAACCCAUAAAACAGAGAUAAAGGAAACAGUAUACAGAGUAAAAACAGAGACAAAAGCAAGCAACAAACCCAGAAUACCAACAUUAACAUCACUGUCUUCUUGAUCGCCUCCUGCAAAUAAAAAAAAAACCCCAGCGUCGCCAUCGUCUUUGUUCCUUCGUCUCAAGAAACCGGGAUAAUAGGCUAGAUAACCAGAAGCAAAGGAAACGCAAAUCACAGAGAGAAGAACGCAAGGAAAGGUGAAAAGGGGGCCCUGUCAAGCGUGGUUCAAUCACACAGAAGCAAUUUUGUCAUCGUCUUCGUCGCCUUCGGCCAACCAAGGUAAGCCGCUUCCUCUGCCUUUCAUUCGGUUUCAACUUAUUAGCAGCAUACUGUGCAAGUGAAUUUUAAUUCACUUGCACAGCGCAGCAACACGCGUGGCUUGUCGCACGCGUGUUGCUUUUGCUCGGCCAGGUCACUGGCUUGGGCCAGUGACCGGGCCGGGCUGGCUGGGUCUAGCCCAGCCCAUGUGGGCUGAGCUGGGCCCAGCCCCAAAAAAUAAUAAAAAUAAUAAAUAGAAAAAAAUAGAAAAAUAGAAAAAUAAAAUAAAUAAAAAAAUAUGUAUGCAUAAAUAAAAAUAAUAUAAAUUUAUUGGUUUAUUCACUGACGCCAGAGUCGGGAAUAAAAAUACCGGUUUAAAUUUAUAUUAUUUUUAUUCAUUGUAUUUUAUUUUGUUUAGCUAGAAAAUAAAAAAUAAAUGUGUAUGCAUAAAUAAAAAUAAUAUAAAUUUAUUGGUUUAUUCACCAACGCCAGAGUUUGAAUUAUUCGUGGUGGAAUUUUUACCAACGCCAUAGUUGGAAUUAUUCAUGUUGGAAUUUUUACCAACACCAGAGUUGGAAUUAUUCGGGGUUGGAAUUUUUACCAACACCAUAGUUGGAAUUAUUCAUGUUGGAAUUUUUACGAACGCCAGAGUUGGAAUUAUUCGGGGUUGGAAUUUUUACCAACGCCAGAGUUGGAAUUAUUCGAGAUCGAAUAUUCACUGGCGCCAGAGUCAGGAAUAUUAUAAACAAAUCAUCAUAGCAUAAGCGAAUAAAUGUUUAGCAAUUUAGGACAAAACCAGCAAUGCAAUCUGCCUUAGGCAGAACGUUUAAGGGGUGAUAAUAUCUUCCCUUUUACGUAACCAGUCCCGUACCAUAGAAUCUCUAUUGACCAGUUAGGGUUCCUAGUGACCAUAAUACUAGGUGGCGACUCCUUAAACAAGACUGUUCUUUUUCCAUAUUCGAGAGUUUAUUUUUAAGGCCGCCGCGAUGUCGGGUGCGACACUGCCCUCUCUCUAUCUCUCGCUCGCUAUCUGUAAGCAAUCCCCCUCUCUUUAUUGCUUUUGUUAUUAUUGUUGUAGAUCUUGAUCUGGAUUCGGACGGGAUUAGUCUUGUUUUGGUUCUAUAGUUUGUCUUUUUUAAUUCUCUAGAUCUGACCCUUGUUAGAUUUGAUCUGUUUUUGGUAAGUUUUUCAAUGACCCUUUUGUUUGUUUUGUUUGCUGGUAUUGACAUUAAGAAGAUUAUGAAUCUAUAAAUUUGGCAAGAAGAUCCACCUUCUUCAACAGCAUUCCUGAUCGUUUCUUUUAGCUUCUUUGUUCUGCUCCUCAUUUCCUCUGCUUCUCUACAGCUUCACUUUUAACAUGAUCUUCAUGCACUGUAAGUCAUUCCUUAACUCCAACACCAACUCCAGUUUUUAAAACAUCGGUCAUCAUCUUUUCAUUAUGGAAUUGCUCAGCAAAACAUCGGUCACCAUCCUCAAUGAGUCACAAAUGCACCUAUUGCUUCAUGAUCAAGAAUCAAAACUUGGAGUGCCCAUCCUCUAAUAAUUAGGCCUUUGCCUUCCAUUCUUCCCUCAAAUCCUUCAGGUAAACAAUCUUCCUUGUCUUCUUGACCCUUUUUGCUUCUUCUAACUACCCAGAUAAAUUGAUGCCCAGAAGCUUCGAGACCUGCUGCAAUCUCCUUAAGCUGAGAGGCAGUGAAGUUCGCCAUGCUUCCAAAGCAAAUAUAAACAACUGAAUUUGGUUUCUUUGAGUCGAGUCACUUCAACUGAAUUUGCCAUGUUGAGCAAUUGAGGCUUCUUUUUCUCUUCCUGCUUUAUCUUCAUUGUCUCUAUUGGAUAGUGAAACCUGUUAAUUAUUGGAGACAAGCAAGCCCCACCAUGUGCAAGUGGGAUUACCUAAUCUCCCACUUAGCACAUGGUGGAGGACUCCCCCUCACUCCCAUUAAUUGUAUAUUAAUGUACCCCUCCUGUGAUGUGUUUGUGUGCGUAUGAAGAACACAGAGAGCAGCGUGAGAAACACAGAGAGAAGAGAGAACAGAGAAGAAUAGAGAGAGCUUGAGAGAGUAGAGUUGAGUUGAGAGAGUUUUAUCUCCUCCUCCUUUGUUUGUAUUGUUUGUAAGCUUCAUUAAUACAAACCAGUAGCUCCGUGGAGUAGGCAAGUUGCCGAACCACGUAAAUUGUGUGUGUUUGAGUUCUGGAAAUAUCCCAACAACUGGUAUCAGAGCUUGUUCUUGACAAAGAGGGUGUUUGAUCCAAACUCAAAAAUCAAAGUUCUCCAAACGUGUUUUUAAACAUACCAUCGUGUAGAGGACAACCGGAAGAAUCCACUGUUGCAAACCCGGCGAAGAACCGACGUUCUGCAUGCCCGCACGCGCCAACACGCGCCGACGCCCAGACUGCCCACGCGCACCAACGCGCCGUACGCGCGCCACGCUCCAUCUUCGCCCGGCUUCUGCAAAACGGGUCGGGCUGACCCGCCACGUCAGCACAGACGUACGGUCACGUCCGCGUCACCUGCCACGUCACCUGCCACGUCAUCGCUGAGUUUUGUUCCGAUGUGUCGCAGAAGCUGAUAUUCUGACAUGUGGCUACAUCAUAACCGUUGAGGGGUUUUGAUCCAGUACGACGCAGGAUCCAAUCAGUUGACACGUGGUUAAAUCAAGACCACUAUUGAGUAUUGAUCCAGUGUGACUCAGGCCAUCAUCUGCUGACACGUGGCUUCAUCAUAACCGUUACUGAGUUUUGAUACGGUGUGACGCAGGACCUAAUCUGCUGACACGUGGCUUCAUCAGAACCGCUACUUAGGUUUUGAUCCGGUGCGACGCAGGCGGUACUCUGGUUGACACGCGGCUGCAUCUGCACCGUCCGUUAAUUCAAAACUUUGAUUGCUAAAAUCUGAGCCAUCCGAAGUCCGAUUGGGGUGAUCUCAGUGUCAUUUCCAAGGUUUUCGGCUGUUCCGGACACAUCUGUAAGGUCAGAUUUGAGAAAUUCGAAUCGGAGAAGUAGUAAAAAUGGCAGAUGAAAUAAAAGCAGCUGGAAUUGAAAAAUUUGACGGGACAGAUUUUGGAUACUGGAAAAUGCAAAUUGAGGAUUAUCUAUAUGGGAAGAAACUUCAUCUUCCCUUGUUGGGGAGCAAACCAGAAAAUAUGCAAGAAGAAGAUUGGCUACUUCUUGAUAGACAAGUUCUGGGCAUUGUCCGGUUAUCCUUAUCAAGAAGAGUUGCUCACAAUGUUACGAAAGAAAGAUCCACUGCAAGAUUGAUGGAAGCCUUGUCUGGGAUGUAUGAGAAGCCAUCAGCAAAUAAUAAAGUGCACCUGAUGAAAAAGUUGUUCAACUUGAAGAUGGUCGAAAACACUUCUGUGACACAACACCUCAAUAACUUUAAUACCAUCACAAAUCAAUUAUCAUCUGUUGAGAUUGAGUUUGAUGAUGAGAUUCGUGCACUCAUUUUGCUAGCUUCACUUCCAAGCAGUUGGGAAGGCAUGAGGACAGCCGUGAGCAAUUCAGCUGGAAAAUCCAAACUGAAGUAUGAUGACAUUCGAGACUUGAUUUUGGCUGAAGAAGUGCGAAGGAAAGACUCGGGUGAAAGUUCAAGCUCAGGAUCAGCUCUCAACAUCAACACUCGAGGGAGGAGACAUGAUAGAGGCUUAUCCAGAGGCAGAUCAAAAUCAAGAUGUAGAAGUAAAAGCAAGUUUGGACCCAGAAAGCAGGUUGAAUGUUGGAAUUGUGGCAAACCUGGUCAUUUCAUGAGGAAUUGCACAAAACCGAAAAAACCUGAAGCUGACUCUGCAAACGCUACCACAAAUGAGGUGCAAGAUGCUUUGAUUCUUGCUGUGCAUAGUCCUGUUGAUGAUUGGGUUCUUGAUUCUGGUGCUUCAUUUCACUGUACACCACACCAUGAAAUGAUGCAAAACUAUAUUGCUGGAGAUCACGGUGUAGUCUAUCUGGCCGAUGGACAACCAUUGGAUAUUGUGGGUUUAGGAGAUGUACAAAUCAAGACAAUGAAUGGAUCUAUAUGGAACUUGCAAAAUGUAAGGCAUGUUCCUGAUCUAAAGAAGAAGCUGAUCUCGGUCGGACAACUUGAUGAUAGUGGUCAUUCAAUCCUUUUUUCUGGAGGUAUGUGGAAGGUAUCAAAGGGAGCAAUGGUUUUGGCUCGUGGAAAGAAAACCGGCACCCUGUAUAUGACCACAAGAUUUGCAGACAUUAUUGCCUCUACUGAAGCAGAAAAUCAAGCACAUCUAUGGCACUGUAGACUCGGCCAUAUGAGUCAAAAGGGGAUGAAGAUACUUCAGUCGAAGGGAAAGCUGGCAGAAUUAAAAAAUGUCGAUCUAGACAUUUGUGAAAGCUGUGUUCUUGGAAAACAGAAAAAGCUCAGUUUCUUGAAGGUUGGCAGGACCUUAAGACCAAGAAAGCUAGAGCUGGUACACACAGAUUUAUGGGGACCGUCUCCAGUAGCAUCUCUUGGAGGUUCUCGGUAUUACGUGACUUUCAUUGAUGAUUUCAGCAGGAAGGUAUGGGUUUACUUUCUGAAAAAUAAAUCUGAUGUGUUUGAAACAUUCAAGAAGUGGAAGGCUAUGGUUGAGACUGAAUCAGGUCUGAAGUUGAAAUGCUUGAGAUCCGAUAACGGAGGAGAAUACAUUGAUGGAGGUUUCAAAGAGUAUUGUGCUGUUAAUGGUAUCAGAAUGGAAAAGACCGUUCCAGGCACACCGCAACAGAAUGGCAUUGCUGAACGAAUGAACCGGACCAUCAAUGAACGAGCUAGAAGCAUGAGGUUGCAUUCAGGGCUACCUCAAACAUUCUGGGCUGAUGCAGUUCAUACUGCAGUUUACUUGAUCAACCGUGGACCAUCAGUUCCUUUGGAGUUCAGAUUGCCCGAGGAAGUAUGGAGAGGAAAAGAGGUACAACUCUCUCAUUUAAAGGUCUUUAGGUGUGUUUCCUAUGUUCAUAUAGAUUCUAAUGCUCGCAACAAGUUGGAUGCCAAAUCCAAGAAAUGUUUCUUCAUCGGCUAUGGAGAUGAAGAAUUUGGCUUUCGGUUCUGGGAUGAUCAGAAUAGAAAGAUUAUCAGAAGCAGGAACGUGAUCUUCAAUGAGAAAGUUCUGUACAAAGACAGAUCAAGUGCAGAAACAGAUAAGGCUGAUUCAGAUACAAGGCCACAAGGAUCUGAAUUCAUAAGAUUAGAAGGCCUUCCCGAUGUUACUGAGCAGAACAACAAUCAAGAGCCUUUACAAGAAGACUCAAGCAUAUCUGUACCCGCUACUACACAAGAAGAAGCGGAGCAAAUUGAACCAGCUGUUCGCAGGUCUUCGAGGACGAUAAAGCCCCCGCAACGGUUCACACUUUUACUGAAUUACAUUUUGUUGACAGAUGGUGGUGAACCGCUAACUUAUGAAGAAUCCUUACAAGAUGGAAACUCAAGCAAGUGGGAGUUAGCCAUGAAGGAUGAGAUGAGUUCGUUGCUGAAGAACAAGACUUGGGAGCUAACCACACUGCCUGAAGGAAAGAAGGCUUUACAAAACAAGUGGGUUUACAGAGUGAAGACUGAGCAUGACGGAAGUAAACGGUUCAAGGCAAGACUUGUUGUCAAAGGGUUUCAACAAAAGAAAGGCAUUGACUACUCUGAGAUAUUUUCUCCAGUUGUGAAGCUCACAACAAUCAGAGUUGUUCUGGGGAUAGUAGCUGCAGAAAAUUUACAUCUUGAACAGUUAGAUGUAAAAACAGCAUUCCUUCAUGGUGACUUGGAGGAAGAUAUUUACAUGCAACAGCCAGAGGGGUUUGCAAUGCAAGGAAAGGAGAAUCAAGUCUGCAAGCUACAGAAAAGCCUAUACGGUUUGAAGCAAGCUCCAAGACAGUGGUACAAGAAGUUUGACAACUUCAUGUGUAGUUCGGGAUACACAAGAUGCCAGGCUGAUCAUUGUUGCUAUGUCAAACAUUUUGACAACUCCUACAUCAUUCUACUAUUAUAUGUAGAUGAUAUGUUGAUUGCAGGAUCCAGCAUUGAGGAGAUUGAUAAGCUGAAACAGCAGUUGUCAAAACAGUUUGAAAUGAAGGAUCUGGGAGCUGCUAAACAAAUACUUGGCAUGAGAAUCUUCAGAGAUAAAGACAAAGGCGUACUAAAGCUUUCACAAACAGAGUAUGUCAAGAAGGUUCUCAGCAGGUUUAGUAUGGAUAAUACUAAACCAGUAAGUACACCACUGGGGAAUCAUUUCAAGCUCAGCAAAGAUCAGUCACCAAAAACUGAGCUAGAAAGUGGAUACAUGGAUAAGAUUCCAUACGCCUCAGCUAUCGGCUCUUUGAUGUAUGCUAUGGUCUGUACCAGACCAGACAUUGCCCAUGCAGUGGGAGUUGUAAGCCGAUAUAUGAGCAAUCCUGGAAAGCAGCAUUGGGAGGCGGUCAAAUGGAUCAUGAGGUACUUAAAAGGUUCCUCGGAAACUUGUCUCAGUUUCACAGCUGGUGGUUUGAAACUUGAAGGUUUUGUAGAUGCUGAUCUAGCAGGAGAUGUUGAUAGCCGAAAGAGCACUACAGGAUAUGUAUAUACUCUAGGAGGGACUGCUGUUUCCUGGAGUUCUACCUUGCAAAAGAUCGUCGCUCUUUCAACAACAGAAGCUGAAUAUGUUGCAGUCUCAGAAUCUGCAAAAGAGAUCGUAUGGCUGCAGAGUUUCCUGAAAGAAUUGGGCAAGAUGAAUGGAAAGGGUACUUUGUAUAGCGAUAGUCAGAGUGCAAUCUUCCUUGCCAAGAAUCCAGCAUUUCACUCCAGGACGAAGCAUAUUCAGAUCAAAUAUCACUUCAUCCGACAACUGCUGGACGACGAGCAACUAAUGCUAGAAAAGGUCUGUGGAAGCAAGAAUCCAGCUGACAUGUUAACCAAAGGAGUUACACUUGAUAAACUGAAGUUGUGCAAAACUUCAGUUGGCCUUCAAGGAUAAAAGAUAAUUUCAUUGUUUGUCUCCAAGUGGGAGAUUGUUAAUUAUUGGAGACAAGCAAGCCCCACCAUGUGCAAGUGGGAUUACCUAAUCUCCCACUUAGCACAUGGUGGAGGACUCCCCCUCACUCCCAUUAAUUGUAUAUUAAUGUACCCCUCCUGUGAUGUGUUUGUGUGCGUAUGAAGAACACAGAGAGCAGCGUGAGAAACACAGAGAGAAGAGAGAACAGAGAAGAAUAGAGAGAGCUUGAGAGAGUAGAGUUGAGUUGAGAGAGUUUUAUCUCCUCCUCCUUUGUUUGUAUUGUUUGUAAGCUUCAUUAAUACAAACCAGUAGCUCCGUGGAGUAGGCAAGUUGCCGAACCACGUAAAUUGUGUGUGUUUGAGUUCUGGAAAUAUCCCAACAACUAGGCCCACGUUAAUUCACACCCUCUUUAAUUGACCCAACAAGACAAUGUCCUAACCAUACAGGUUCCUCUUCUACAGAUUCUGGAAAAAGAUUGUCUUGGGAACUUACAGUAGAUUUCGUUGGAACUCUUCUCUCAGGACGUAGCAUAGCUUCUUGAAUCUCUGUUUCUAAUCGGAACAGGGUAGCAACGAGAAGCUUGGAGUGGUCGCAGAAUGCCUUUCUUUUGUUCAUGAGGCUGCCUGUCGAAACGCUGAAGAUUUGCCAGCACCUUGUAGGAAUCAAAUCAAAGCCCCUUUUAAAAAUUUAAUGACCAAAAGGAAGAAAAUAAAAAAAAUCUGCCUUGUGUUUAAAAAAACACCUCCCUUCUGUUUCCUCAACAUGUUAGUUCAUAUUUUUGGUUGCAAAUCUUGUACCCCUAGCGAUCUCUCUUCUUUUUUAAUUCCUGUGUGCUAUUGUUUUAGAUCUGAGGUGUAAAUUGACUCCAACAGAGGAUACACUCUAUACCCAAUCUAUGUAAUAUAAUGAAAAUACAUAAUAUUUCUUCUUACAUGCCAAAAAAAUAUUUAUUUUCAGUACACUACUCAUCUACUAUUUCUUUAGUUUUCUUCUUGGGCAUAAUCACCAAGCCUGUAUGCAUGUACAAUCUAGAACAAAAUGGAAUUACAUUGCAGGACUUUGGUUUCUUAGAUCAAUUUUCUUCGGAGUUCACAGCUAUAACAAUAAGCUACCAAAGACAAACAUGUUCUUGAAAAAUUUGGUAAACAAACUUAAAUCAUCUGUAACAUUUACAGACUCUGAUGACUGAUCGGUGAAACUUCAUUUUUUUUAAUCUGUUUGUUGAGCAAGUUCAAGCAAGCACUAGGAUAACUUACUGGUGAAAAAUAUUAAUCUACAAUUUACACUUACUGAUAACAUGCAUGUAGAUAUCUUAUUGGUUGGGUUUUACAAUUUACACUUUCUAAUUUAUAAAACCAGGAGUAAAUCACAUGUAUCAGAGGUUUAGGUAGCUUCCUGCCCAUGUGAAAACACAAGAAUGUUAUCCUAUUGCAAUAUGACAUGUCUUGUUGGACACAUGCCAAGCACAUUAUCACAUGAACAAUGAAUCAGCAGAAGGAAUUUUUAGUUAGGUAUUAGUCUUAAGAUUUAAAAUUAAAAAAAAAAUCAACAUUUUUUAAAUACCAUAUCAGCCCCCUAACUUAUAAAAAUGACAAAUGAUACCACUGGCUAUCCCAUGCUAUAGCUGGCUAUAUGUGAGGCCUUAAUUUGCCUAGGGCCAUAUGGUCCACAUAAUAAUUUUCUUAAAUAAAAAAAAUGUUAUCUUUCAUGCACAAUGAAUCAGUAGAAGGAAUUGUUAAUUAAGCUUGGAACCCUGUAGCAAACAUCUGAGAUAGAAACUGCAUCAAGCGUUUUUGUUUUUUCUUUCUUCAAAUUUUUGGCGAGAGAAAAGAUAUCAGGAUUGGUGAUUCUGGAGCAAGAAGCCAUGGCCAUGAUCGCAGUGCAGGUGGUGCUCGAGAAACUGGCUUCCUUUGUAGCAGAAGAAACACGGUUCUUGGGAGGAGUUAGAGGGGGAAUCGUUGAACUACAGGAUGAUUUGUAUAGCAUGAAAUCUUUCCUUCAGGAUGCGGAAGAAAGGAGUGAGAGAUGUGGCUUAUGAUGCUGAGGACAUUCUUGAAGAGUUCGUGCUCCGGUUUGCUCCAUCUCACGGGAGUGGUUUUAUCCAUUAUCUUCGCAAUUCAUAUCGUUCCAUCCGUAAAUUAAGUGCACGGCACCGGCUGGCAGUCCAGGUACAAAGCAUUAAAGCAAGGGUAAAAGCCAUUUCUGAGAGAAGAAAUGCAUUUUCUUUGAAUAGGAUAGACAUGCCAUCAACCUCCAGUGCUACCGUAGAGAAAUGGCAUGAUCCCCGGUUAGCUGCUCUUUACUUAGAUGAAGCUGAUGUCGUGGGAAUUGAGAACCCAAAACAUCUACUGGUUUCGUGGCUUGUAGAAGGAGAAGAAAAGCUCUCAACAUUCAUCAAGACAAUAGAGAGGCACCGUGGUGAAGAUUUCUGGAGAGUUCAACAUAUCACAACAAUCACCCGUAUCUACGAGAGCCAGGGGAGACGGGUCUCUGAAACUCUUCUGUAAUUAGAGGGGUUAACUACGGAGAGGAAACAGUUUCCGGAAAAUUAUUAUCUCUGUCAAGUUCCUCAGGUCUGCACAGACGUUUCAUCAUGUAAUGCUGAGCCUCAGAAAACAGAAAACUGCUGCUCUUCCCUCCUCUUCUCUGCUCCUUUAUCUCUGUUUUGCUGUUGUUGAAUCUUCCUACCUGCUAUCUUGCCCAUGUUUGUCACCAGUAAAUUCUUGACACCGUCAAUUUCUAGAGAUCAAUACGAGUAUAUUUGAGACGUGUCAAAUGUUUAUUUUAUAUUUUAUCAAAUUUUCACAACUUGAGUUCGUUUUGCAA
rnacentral:lncRNA from 1 species